CAAAUUCUUUAUUGAGUAUUUCUUUCAAGACAGAAAUAUAAAAGCACAUCAGAUGUUUCCUCUUAAACUUUGGUUUGCAGAAUUAAGGCACUCUGAAGAUGUUUUUUCUUACUCCAUGAGUAAUUGUUUUCCAACUUUCUUUAACAAAGUAAACAAUUUUUAUGAGUACAAAAUUAGAGUUAGGGAAAUGAUAUAAUUUACAGACAACUCCACAUUAGGACGAGACAUCAGCAAGGCAUGAUUUGAUAUAAAAGUUUUUAGACCUAAUCUUGUCUUUGUGACACCAUUUUUCAUGUAGAGUUAAUUGUUUGCAUUCAGUUUAUUUAUCCAUUUAACAACCAAAAGACAUAUUUAGGGAAAACUGGGAAAACGCUUCAGAAUCUCAAUAUGUGUGUUGGUACAGCAUACCUUUAGCGGGAAUGAUUUUUCAUAUAAAUAAAGUUCAAUGUGGUCUCAAAUACAUUUUAGGAAGAUCAUAACAUUUUUUUCCCCUUACUAAGAGCUUCCAUUAGCCACAUUUACCAUAUGACAUUUGGAUAUGCAAUGUAGAACAAAAAGAGAUACACUGAAUAUAAGGCUUAUUUCUUUGUUUAGAAAAGGUAAUGUUAUCCAUUUCACUAUGACAUUAAAAGCAUGAUGAAAUCUGACUUAGAAAGGACAUACAAUUCUACUGAAACAAAAGUGCUACAUUAACACUCAUAUUUCCUUACAAUACUCAUUCUAAAAGUCACCUGAGGUGAUUUUUUUCUCUAGAAAUGAUCUGAUUUCAUUUAUAUUUCUUAUUUAGUGGAAAUAAAAAUAAUUAAAAAUAUACAUUCUGCAUUGUUCCCUGCUGUUUUUGAAUCCAAUCCUGCAAACAUUUACUAACCAAUUUAAGAGGGAAUCCUGAUCCUACAGAAGCUGGAGGAAGUUUUCCUUGCGCCUUCAGCAGUUCCAGGAUUCCUCCUUGCAUAAUGCUUACUGUUAAGAGCAUUUAUAGCACCUCCAAUGGAAUACCCCUAGUGAGCAUUAUGCCAUUAGUAAUCAUCUGCAUUUUCACAUCUUUUUGUGGAUUCAUGGUUCAGUUUACAUUGUUAUACAAAACACAUUUUUUUCUAAUAUUCUUUUCUUUUUUUUCUUAAAAAAAAACAAAAAACAAACAAAAAAAAACCCACAUUUUCUCUUUCUCUCAAAGACCACGCUGUUUUCUUGUAAUUCUGUGGAUUCUAUCUUGAAAAGCUUUUAAGAAUAAGCUAGUCUUGUCCUCCUUCUUGCUGAUCCCCCUUGUGUCCUCUUGUUUGCUUGUACUUUCCGUACAGGUGCUUCUUCCAAAUGGACUUUCUUGAUUUCUCUCUCGAUAAUCUGUGGUUCUCCCUCAAUUACUUUAGUAACCUUGGUGUACUCAGUUCCAGCUCCCUGCAGAAGUCUUUUGAUUUCUUCAUCUUCAAGUAAAUGAGCAUCACCUUCAAUAAAUUUGGUCACCUUGGUAACCUCUUCCUCAAGCAAUCUCUUUAAAUUUUCUUCAUUGUCUGUACCACCUGCAGUAAUUCUGGUGUAUUUUAUUUCUGGACCUUGAAUAAUUCUUUCUUCUGUUACUUUUUUCUCUGUCACUUCCACAGGUCGCCCAUCAAUGAUUUUGGUGUACGUUUUAAUAAUUGGUUCUCCAUGAAUCACUUUAGUUAUUGUCUCCCCCUCCCUGACUAUUUUGAACUCAGGUUCUCCUUCAAUUAUUUUAGUGAGCUGUGUAAUAGAUGGGUCUUCCUUUCUGAUGAUAGGCUGUACGUUGCUUUCAAUUAUGUUAAUUUUGUAAAACGUCAGUGGAAUCUCUUUGAAGGUACUGUCACGAACAAACUUGAUUUGAAUAUACUUGAUCAGCUUCUUCAGGAUUGUGAGCAACUGAUCGUUUCCAACAGGCAGAUCUGCUGGAUAUAGGAGUUUAUCAAUAACAUGAAUUACACCAUUGGUUGCCAUGAGAUCAGGUUCUCUUGACUUCAGGUCAUUAACUAGAAGAGUAUCAUUCACUGUUUUCAAGUACAGUUUUCCUCCUUGGAUAGUUUUAAGGAUAUUUGUCACACCAGGCUCAAAGCCACUUCCAAUGAAAACUCCUUGUGUCAGGUGGUAAAGAAGAAUGUUCCUGAGAGCAUUUUUGUCUCUUAUCAGUACAGCCUUAUCGUCAUCGGUCAAACCUUUAAAAGCAUCAUUAGUUGGAACAAACAGAGUCCAUGCUCCAGGCCGUGACAGAACAUCAUCUAAAUCUGCAGCUUUCACCAGACUGAGGAAAACACUAAAACGCUUAUCAUUUCUCAGCAUUUCAUGCAAAGAUUUUUCUGCUGGCUUGAUGAUUUGUCUGAAGACGUGAAUAAAACCAUUCCUUCCUUCUUUACUUCCUCUGACCAUGCAUGAAUUUUCAACACAUACAGCAGUGCGAUACACAAAGACUCUUAGCAGUUUUCCACCGAUUGUCUCCAGCUCUUGUCCAUUGUAUAGUUCAUUGAGCCCAAUUUUCACUUUUAUAAUGUGAUUCUGCAGGAUUGUUUUAAGAAGCCGUUGAUCCAUCUGUAAAGUGUCAUCUGAGAAAGCACGAUUCUGUGGUACCAGGAGAGUGUAUUGGCCUUCUGGUCUUAGAGAAGAUGCUAGUCCUAGCUGUGUCACCAGGUCUGUAAAAGUAGUCUGCUGGGCACCUCCAAGCUCAAUGACUUGCUUGGCAGAAUCAGGAAUUAGCACUCUAUCAAUGAGGUGGAUAACACCAUUGCUCGUCACAAUAUCUUUGCGUUUCACCAUCUUUACUCCAUUCACAGUAAGAGUUUCACCAUCACAGCCAACUUCAAGUGUGUUUCCUUCCAAAGUUUCAUAGACAGCUCCACCCAUGAUCGCUUCAGAGCACUGAAGAGUAUUUAAAAUAUGGAACUUCACAAGAGCUUCAGAAGCUACCUUGUCACCCAUGAUUCUUUCUAAGAUUCCUCUUGGAAGACGCUCAAAAGCUUCAUUAGUAGGAGCAAAGAGUGUGUAAUAACCAGGCCUUCCAAGAGUAUCUAAGACGUCUGACGUGAUGGCAGCAGCUCUGAGAGAUGAAAGGUCAUCCUCAACUUCAAUGAAAUCUUGAAUGGUAUUUCCAACAGCAGUUAGGACACGGUCAAUUACAUGAACAACACCAUUGGUAGCAAUCUGGUUGCCAUGGAUUAUCCUUGCACAGUUAACAGUAACAACCCCAUUAGGAUAAUGGUUAAUAAGCAAUUUCUGGCCAUUAUACAUGGACACCAGUGUCAUGCCAUUCUUAAGAUCUUUUGUCAACAUGCGCUUGUUUACCAUGUGGUGGUGGAGAGCAUUAUAUAGUUCAAUAUUUACAUUGUCAAUUAAAUUCCUGUGAAUUUCCGAACUUAAUUGCUCCCAGGCUUCAUUACUUGGUGCAAAGAAAGUGAAUGAACCUCUUCCCUCAAUCUCUUCUCUCAGCUUUGACAUGUCAGAAUACUGCUGAGUGGAGGUAGCUCCCACAAUACCAAGAGUGCCAUAUACAUGAUCAAUAGGAGCAACUGCAGGACAUCCUCUCAUACCAUCCAUCUUCAUGUAGCCAGGACAGCACUCAUAUAAGACAGUUGCUUUCUUUCCACAGAUGGAUCCCUGGUACCAGUUUCUGCAGGUGCUGAAGUAUUUCUUUUUGGUUCCCAUAACUUGCUGAAGGGCACAGACAUUUGGGCCUUGGUCGCGUGCCCUUAUUCGACUAUGAGUUAAAAUCUUGUCAUAGUGAGCAGAUGCGGCUGCUUGUUCAAAAGCAGACAAGAAAAACGUGGAAAAGGUGAAUAAUAAAAAGAUCUUCAUCUCUAGUCCUCUGUCGCUUCUGGCAAGUCUAGAAGAGAGAACUGGCAGAGGCUCUGGAGGGCCGACAAUUUAUAUACAUGCUGGAAGGUAGUGGGAGGGAACCAGGGAAUCAACCUGAAACUUUGUACCACCCUCCUUGGAGUAGCAGCUUUGGCUGCCAACUUCAGUAACCUAAAUUAAUAUCAUACAUUCACCGUAUGAGCAGUUCUUUUUUUAUCCCUGAUUGACUAAUUUCUUCCUCAUUACAGAAGGCUUAGCAUUUUAUUCUGCUGACACAACAGCAGAAGUUUGGGAAGUUUAGACUUUGAGUUAUGAUUUAGUAUUUAUAGCACUGAAGCUUCCAGAAGUUGGGAUCACUGUGUGGCUCUAUUCAAACCCAGAUGAAGUUUCUUCCUGCUGCUUUCUUCUGUUUUCUGUGUCCUUAUAGUUAUCAGUUCUGAACUGUUUAACUAGUGAAGUUGAUGAAAGUUCCAGUCAACAAUCUGUUGUCAAUACUCUUGUCAAACAACACCUAUGUCUUCAGAAAAAAAAAAAAAAAAGCUAUGUUAAUACAUAUACUGAUUAUGAAGCAGUUAUACAAUCAAACAUACUAUUUAAAUAUGUAUUUUAAUUCUAAUAGUAACAUUUAUUAUUGCAAAAUGCUUUUAGUUGGAACCUCAUGUAGUCUCAUAGAAUUCAGAGUAGCUGAAAAUUUGAAGAAAUACUUACUUAUACCCAAUAGUUGGUUGUUGGGAGCCUCUAGUGAAACAAAUGGAAAAUGUAAUGCUGAGCUAUAAAUGAGGGAAAUGAGGCAGAAAGAUGAAGUGCUGAAGACAGGCUGAAACACUCAGCAAAGGGGAGGUCUUAAGGAACAGUCAGUGUUUGGACUGCAGUCCAUGAGUUUAUGAUUUUAAUGUAGAGGAAAAAGUCUGCAAUUGUAUAAAAGGGUUCACAUAUGAAUUCAAAUUCAAGGUAUAGUUUGUCAUUUCAGACCUGUAUGAAGAUAUGUCAGUUUUAAUGACAGAACUUUGCUGUAGAUUAUUCCUCCAAAACAGGGAAAAUAAUAAUAUGGAUAACUGGAAAUCGAUGAAACGUUGGACUGACAUAGCUGGGGGAACCUCUCAUUACAGAGCAUAGACAAAUGGAACAAAGAGCAGAGGCUGGAGACACUGGCUAUUUA
rnacentral:lncRNA from 1 species